rnacentral:rRNA from 1 species
AUACGGAGGGUGCAAGCGUUAAUCGGAAUUACUGGGCGUAAAGCGUACGUAGGCGGUCCGUUAAGUUAGAUGUGAAAGCCCCGGGCUUAACCUGGGAACUGCAUUUAAAACUGGCGGACUAGAGUUGAGUAGAGGGGAGUGGAAUUUCAGGUGUAGCGGUGAAAUGCGUAGAGAUCUGAAGGAACACCAGUGGCGAAGGCGACUCCCUGGACUCGAACUGACGCUGAGGUACGGAAGCGUGGGUAGCAAACGGGAUUAGAAACCCUAGUAGUCC